rnacentral:rRNA from 1 species
UACGGAGGGUGCAAGCGUUGUUCGGAAUUAUUGGGCGUAAAGCGCGCGCAGGCGGUCUGACAAGUCUAUGGGUGAAAUGCCGGGGCUCAACCCCGUGCAUGCCCAGGAUACUGUCAGACUGGAGACACGUAGAGGCAAGCGGAAUUCCGGGUGUAGCGGUGGAAUGCGUAGAGAUCCGGAAGAACACCGGAGGCGAAGGCGGCUUGCUGGGCGUGAUCUGACGCUGAGGCGCGAAAGCGUGGGGAGCGAACAGG